AUGUUGUUUACACCGGUUCCCGUACGAUUACCGAUGGUAAGCAACAUCAAGCCUGGUCAGUAUCUAGAUGGGUGACCACUUGGGAAUACCAGGUGCUGUAAG